GACGAACGCUGGCGGCGUGCUUAACACAUGCAAGUCGAGCGGUAAGGCUCCUUCGGGAGUACACGAGCGGCGAACGGGUGAGUAACACGUGAGCAAUCUGCCCUUCACACGGGGAUAGCUCCGGGAAACCGAAGCUAAUACCCGAUACGACCACUUCAGGCAUCUGAUGGUGGUGGAAAGUUCCGGCGGUGAAGGAUGAGCUCGCGGCCUAUCAGCUUGUUGGUGGGGUAACGGCCCACCAAGGCAACGACGGGUAGCCGGCCUGAGAGGGUGACCGGCCACACUGGGACUGAGACACGGCCCAGACUCCUACGGGAGGCAGCAGUGGGGAAUAUUGGACAAUGGGCGAAAGCCUGAUCCAGCAACGCCGCGUGAGGGAUGACGGCCUUCGGGUUGUAAACCUCUUUCAGCAGGGACGAAGCGCAAGUGACGGUACCUGCAGAGGAAGCACCGGCCAACUACGUGCCAGCAGCCGCGGUAACAC
rnacentral:rRNA from 1 species